rnacentral:rRNA from 1 species
UACCCGCGGUCCAAGUCGCAGCCAUCAUUAUUGGGUCUAAAACAUCCGUAGCUUGCUUAGUAAGUUUCUUGUGAAAUUCUAUAUCUCAAAUAUAGAGCGGGCAAGAAGUACUGUUAAGCUAGAGACUGGAAGACGUAAGAAGUACGUUUGGAGUAGCGGUAAAAUGUGUUAAUCCCAGACGGACUAACAACAGCGAAGGCAUCUUACGAGGACAGUUCUGACAGUAAGGGAUGAAGGCUAGGGGCGCGAAAGG